GGCGCGAAACCUUUACACUGUACGAGAGUGCGAUAAGGGGAUCCCAAGUGCCCGCGCCUAGCGUGGGCUUUUCCGAACCGUAAAAUGGUUCAGGAAUAAGGGCUGGGAAAGACCGGUGCCAGCCGCCGCGGUAACACCGGCAGCUCAAGUGAUGGCCGAUUUUAUUGGGCCUAAAGCGUCCGUAGCCUGCCGUACGGUUCCGUCGGGAAAUCCGCCCGCUCAACGGGCGACGUCCGGCGGAAACCAUAUGGCUUGGGACCAGAGGACCCGAGGGGUACGUCGGGGGUAGGAGUGAAAUCCCGAGAUCCUCGACGGACCGCCGGUGGCGAAAGCGCCUCGGGAAGAUGGAUCCGACGGUCAGGGACGAAAGCUUGGGUCUCGAACCGGAUUAGAUACCCGGGUAGUCCAAGCUGUAAACGAUGCUCGCUAGGUGUGGCGUAGGCUACGAGCCUGCGCUGUGCCAAAGGAAGCCACGAAGCGAGCCGCCUGGGAAGUACGUCUGCAAGGAUGAAACUUAAAGGAAUUGGCGGGGAGCACUACAACGGGAGGAGCUGCGGUUUAAUUGGACUCAACGCCGGACAUCUCACUGGUUCCGACUCUGGGAGUGAAGGUCAGCUUGACGAGCUUACUAGACCCAGAGAGAGGUGGUGCAUGGCCGCCGUCAGCUCGUACCGUGAGGCGUCCUGUUAAGUUAGGCAACGAGCGAGACCCGUGUCCGUAGUUGCCAGCAGCACGUUCAGUGGCUGGGUACACUACGGAGACUGCCUCCGCUAAGGAGGAGGAAGGAGCGGGCAACGGUAGGUCAGUAUGCCCCGAAUGAACCGGGCAACACGCGGGCUACAAUGGCACGGACAGCGGGAUGCAGCCCCGAGAGGGGUAGCUAAUCCCACAAACCGUGUCUCAGUUCGGAUUGAGGACUGAAACCCGUCCUCAUGAAGUUGGAUUCCGUAGUAAUCGCGUUUCAUCAAAACGCGGUGAAUACGUCCCUGCUCCUUCCACUCACCCCC
rnacentral:rRNA from 1 species